GGUGAGAUGGCCGAGUGGUUAUGGCGCUGCGUUCAGGUCUAGCUGAAUAUCUCUAUCAAGAUAUAAAAUUUCGCAGUGGAGCAAUCCGCGUGGGUUCGAGUCCCACUCUCAUCA